AUGGCAAAUACUUAAGACAGCCAAUCAAAACCUCGCUUCUGCCAUGUUUAUAUAUCUCUCUCUCCAAUGGUUCCUGCCUUCACUGCUUACAACCUUGUGAGUUCUCUUUCUAAGCUCUUGACUCUCUUUUCUUGUCCCCAAGAGAUAGAUCUCAAACGUGUGCACAGCCCCUUUGUUUUAGCUCUCAGUUUCCUGCUCAGUUUUGUUGUUUAUUGCUUAUUUGUUUUCUCUAUAUUGCUGUACUCAGUGUUUUCCUUUUGGUUACUUCAUCUGGGUGUUUUUUUUUUCUCUGUUAAUUUUGUAUUUUUUUUUUGUUUUGUUGAUGCUCGAUCGAGUCUUCUUUUCUGUGACAAAAUCCGACUUGGAUUCUCUUUUACGCUGUUUUCUGAUGCCGGAAUCUAAUCGGAGAAAUUUGGCCCACAUAUCAAAAACUAUGAAUUUUGAAAGUAUUGUGUCUAUUAGCUACAUAGAUGGCUCAGUUUGAUUUUUCCAUGACUUGCAAAUAGUACUGCAAGAAAAAGAAAAAGAAAAGCUUUGAUGGGUUCAAAAAAAAAAAAAAAAUUAAGAAUAGGGUUUUGUUUUGUUCCAACAAGUCCUUAUUAUUCGAAAAUAAGUUUUGUUCCUAUGGUCGUGUACUCGUGUUGGACUCGGUAGAUUCUUCUCGGGUGCCCCUUUAAUGUAAUCAAAAAUCUUAAAAUCACUUUAUGUUCCAACCACUGGUAACUGGCCACGUCAGAUAAUGCCCGUGACCUUUGGGCCAAAGUUAUACAUGAAAUGAUCUGAUGAGACUUGAGAGUCAUAAAUUUUUCCGAGUCCUUUUUUUGUGUGUGUUUUUUCUUUUGUUGACGAAGGUCGUCCUAUGGAAAUGUUUGGUUGUAGUACUUUCUUCUUUGCUUUCCUUUUAUAUGUAUAGAAACAUACAUAGGUACAUAUAUACUGUUAUUGAUUAAUUAGUAGGCUUUGUACAAGGAUGAUCAUAGAUUGACAGUCGUUGUUUGCGGGUGUAGCAUCAUCAAGAUUCACAUGCAAAUGCACGGUGGGUGAUGCAAUUAAAAUUUUUUAAUUAAAAUCUCUCUGCCAAAAUUCUUUGAAAGUGAGAAUCUUGAUGAUGCUGCAUCGGCAAUAAACGACUCUACAAAAGAGGAUUCUCUCGCAAUACUCAACACUGCCACUUCUGCACCUGAACAGUUGAACCCACCAGGUGAUCCUUUCUUUCUUUUAACUACUUUUUUUUUUUGGCUAAGUGUGUUUCUAUUAAGUACUUUCUGUUGUUUUCUGUUGCUGUCAGGUGGGCUUUCUUUCUAGUUUCUGGGAGUUUUUUCCCCCCUUUUAAAUUAAAGCAAUCAAUCAAUGGAUUUACUGUAUUUUUAAAUGUUUAUUCUCUUUUGCACACUGCAUAUAUAGAAGAAAGAAUAGAACCUUGCUGUUCAAGGACCUUUUGUUUUGCUGACCUUUUGCAGAUCUGUGAUUAUUCUUCUGAGCAAAAUUUCCUAGCUAGGAUGAAAAUGGUAUCUUUUCAGGGAGUGUUUCCUGUUGAAGAUGGGACUUUGCCUCUAAAUGGAAAGAGAAAGAGAAUCUGACUUGAUGAUUCUGCAUGAACCUUCAGAAUAUUUUCAAAAGAAAGGCAAAGAAAAGUUAAGUGGAGCCGUGGAGGGAACUGUACCAAUCUCAUGAGUUUGCUAAGAAUGGAUUGGAAAAUUAUUUUUGUGCAGAAGCUGAGAAGAACUUAAGAUGAUUGAUGACUGGAACUAGUUUUUGGAUAUGCAAUGAAAAAUCACGGCCACGGGAAGUUAUUGUUUGUCACUGCCAUUGUUGGCUUUCUCCUCUCAUCACUCUUGUUGGUGGACCAGGCAUCCUGCAACUUGGACCCUUUGUCAUGUUGGAGGAUAAGGUUCGAGGGUUCAAGAUUCACUAUGUAAUCGUGUGUAGACCAAUCAAAAAAAAUUUGUAGUCUAGGAUUAAAUUUCAUCAAACACCUCCAAUUGUAGGGGUGAGAAAAUGAAUCAGGAUUGUUUAAAAAUCAAGGAAAAUGACUGAAUGCAAUCCUAGAGAUAAGUUACUCGAAAAGCAAGUACUUAUGGAAGAGCAAGCUAAUUGCCUCUGUAUGCGGUAAAUCACUAUCUUUUCUCAUUUUGCCUCCCCACCUAAACAUAUGUAGAUAUUAGGGCUAGGGAACUUUUUUUUUUUUUUAAUACUAGAUUAUAAUUGUCGUGGGCCAUUAUAUAUAUGUGCGUGUGUGUCUAUAUAUAUAUAUAUAUAUAUUGCCUCCCCAUGAUAUACUUCAUUGUGUUUGUUGAGAUUCUAAUCUAUACCAAUGCUGAAAAUGAAGGAGUUCGUACAUUCGCCUGGCAGUACUAAUUAUUACUUGAAAUGUACACUUAUUCUCCCAAUGAUAUAAGACUCACUCAACUGGUACCAUAAGAUGCUUUGUACUGAAAGUGAAAUUCAGUGAUUUUUCCUAUCAAGGGCCAUGUAGAUGUCAGUUUGAUAAGUAGCAAAAUGAGCCACAUAUCUGAGCUGCUCAUGCUAAGAACCAAUUUAUUCACUUAGGCU